ACGAACGCUGGCGGCGUGCUUAAGACAUGCAAGUCGAGCGGGGGGACCCAGAGCAGCUUGCUGUGAGGGUUCCCUAGCGGCGGACGGGUGAGUAACGCGUGGGCAACCUACCCGCGAAUCGGGGACAACAGUGGGAAACCGCUGCUAAUACCGGAUGAGCUUUUCUGACCGCAUGGUCGGGGAAGGAAAAGGCAGCCUCUGCAUAGCAAGCUGUCGUUCGCGGAUGGGCCCGCGUCCCAUUAGCUAGUUGGUGGAGGUAACG
rnacentral:rRNA from 1 species